UUAAUUGGUGCACCAAGUCACUUUGUUACUAAAGAACUUGACUUGGCUAGGUUCAAGACUUGACAAGGUUUAUGGGUGCACAAUUGCAGGUUGAAGAUUACAUCUGCAAGUUAGCACAGAGGGGAACGACAACACUCAGAAUGGUGUUUCGUGUGACUCGAGAACUUGCACAUGAGAUUCCUCUCUACCAUCAAGAAAGCAAGAAGCUCUCUCCCAAUUGGAAAUAGUUGGCAUAUUGACUGGUAGCAGGCGAGUCAUUAAUCUCUCUUGG